UGCAAGUCGAACGGAUGACAGAGAGCUUGCUCUCUGAAGUCAGUGGCGCACGAGUGAGUAACGCGUGGGAAACUGCCCUUCACUGGGGAAUAACGUUUGGAAACGAACGCUAAUACCGCAUACGCCCGCAAGGGGAAAGAUUUAUCGGUGAUGGAUGUGCCCGCGUUGGAUUAGCUAGUUGGUGGGGUAAUGGCCUACCAAGGCGAUGAUCCAUAGCUGGUCUGAGAGGACGAUCAGCCACGCUGGAACUGAGACACGGUCCAGACUCCUACGGGAGGCAGCAGCUAAGAAUAUUGGGCAAUGGAGGAAACUCUGACCCAGCCCAUGCCGCGUGAAUGAAGAAGGCCUUCGGGUUGUAAAGUUCUUUUAGUCAUGAAGAUGAUGACAGUAGUGACAGAAAAAGCACCGGCUAACUUCGUGCCAGCCGCGGC
rnacentral:rRNA from 1 species